ACCGUGAGUGAAGAGGACGAAUGUGUGUUUAUCUGCUUCUUCUCCGAAUAUGGCUCUGAUCUUCUCCACUGAUAGUCUCUCCUCCUCAGUAAACGGGCCAAAUUUAAUGACCAGGAUGAUGGCGUGAGGUCCAGAUGAAGCACUUUCGUCAGCUCUGAAGACUUCUCUGCCCAGUAUGGUGUUUCCAGAGGAGCUUUUACCUGCUCCAGUCAGACCAACCAACACCAGCCUUCUCAGGGACACUGAAAAAGAGUGAGAGGAUAUGAUCAUGUGCAUACAAAUGAAACAGAUUGCAGCUUACAAGCAGACUGACUGACUGUAAAGUACUUAUUAGGCCUUAAACGCUUGAGGACGCCAUGGUGCAAAACAACUGUGCAGCUCUAGGAGAUGGUGACUUCCUCAAAAUUUGAGGCUCAAAUGCAAUCGCCGUUAGUUACCGAUCCUUUCCUCUGAUUCAUUUCAAUUUAUUUCUUGCUGUAGACUAUGAUCUGUCACAAACUUCAUUUAUGAAUUAACCGACCACAAUAUAAUUGUUAGCCCACUGAUAAUAACAUUGAAUUGUAAUGGAUUCGUAAACGUUUUCCUGUAAUUUAAAUAAAUGAUUAUUAUUAUUUGUAGUUUUUAGUGAUUGAUUAUAGCCUACACUGUAAAAAAUGAUCUUUU